rnacentral:rRNA from 1 species
AUUGAACGCUGGCGGCAGGCCUAACACAUGCAAGUCGAACGAGUGUAGGACGGGUGAGUCAUGUCUGGGAAACUGCCUGAUGGAGGGGGAUAACUACUGGAAACGGUAGCUAAUACCGCAUACCAUCAGAUGUGCCCAUAUGGGAUUCGCUAGUUGGUGGUGUAACGACUAACCAAGGCGACGAUCCCUAGCUGGUCUGGAAGGAUGCCCAGCCACACUGGAACAGAGCCACGGUCCAGACUCCUACGGGAGGCAGCAGUGGGGAAUAUUGCACAAUGGGCGCAAGCCUGAUGCAGCCAUGCCGCGUGUAUGAAGAAGGCUUUCGGGUUGUAAAGUACUUUCAGCGGGGAGGCGUUACCCGCAGAAGAAGCACCGGCUAACUCCGUGCCAGCAGCCGCGGUAAUUC